rnacentral:rRNA from 1 species
AUUGAACGCUGGCGGCAGGCUUAACACAUGCAAGUCGAGCGAGCGGCGGACGGGUGAGUAAUGUCUGGGAAACUGCCUGAUGGAGGGGGCAAACUACUGGAAACGGUAGCUAAUACCGCAUACCAUCAGAUGUGCCCUGAUGGGAUUAGGUAGCAGGUGGGGUAAUGGCUCACCUAGGCGACGAUCCAUAGCUGGUCUGAGAGGAUGACCAGCAACACUGGAACGGAGACACUGUCCAGAAUCCUACGGGAGGCAGCAGUGGGGAAUAUUGCACAAUGGGCGCAAGCCUGAUGCAGCCAUGCCGCGUGUGUGAAGAAGGCCUUCGGGUUGUAAAGCACUUUCAGCGAGGAGGCGUUACUCGCAGAAGAAGCACCGGCUAACUCCGUGCCAGCCGCGGCGGUAAUUC